rnacentral:rRNA from 1 species
AUUGAACGCUGGCGGCAUGCCUAACACAUGCAAGUCGAACGGCAGCACAGUCGUAGCAAUACGAUGGGUGGCGAGUGGCGGACGGGUGAGGAAUGCAUCGGAAUCUGCCCGAUCGUGGGGGAUAACGCAUCGAAAGGUGCGCUAAUACCGCAUGAGAUCGAGAGAUGAAAGCGGGGGACCGCAAGGCCUCGCGCGAUCGGAUGAGCCGAUGCCGGAUUAGCUAGUUGGCGGGGUAAAGGCCCACCAAGGCGACGAUCCGUAGCUGGUCUGAGAGGAUGAUCAGCCACACUGGGACUGAGACACGGCCCAGACUCCUACGGGAGGCAGCAGUGGGGAAUAUUGGACAAUGGGCGCAAGCCUGAUCCAGCAAUGCCGCGUGUGUGAAGAAGGCCUUCGGGUUGUAAAGCACUUUUAUCGGGAGCGAAAAGCGGACGGUGAAUACCCGUCCGUGCUGACGGUACCCGAGGAAUAAGCACCGGCUAACUUCGUGCCAGCAGCCGCAGUAAAAC